GACGAACGCUGGCGGCGUGCCUAAUACAUGCAAGUCGAACGCUGAAGGAGGAGCUUGCUUCUCUGGAUGAGUUGCGAACGGGUGAGUAACGCGUAGGUAACCUGCCUGGUAGCGGGGGAUAACUAUUGGAAACGAUAGCUAAUACCGCAUAAUAUUGACUAUCGCAUGAUAGUCAGUUGAAAGGUGCAACUGCACCACUACCAGAUGGACCUGCGUUGUAUUAGCUAGUUGGUGGGGUAACGGCUCACCAAGGCGACGAUACAUAGCCGACCUGAGAGGGUGAUCGGCCACACUGGGACUGAGACACGGCCCAGACUCCUACGGGAGGCAGCAGUAGGGAAUCUUCGGCAAUGGACGGAAGUCUGACCGAGCAACGCCGCGUGAGUGAAGAAGGUUUUCGGAUCGUAAAGCUCUGUUGUAAGAGAAGAACGAGUGUGAGAGUGGAAAGCUCACACUGUGACGGUAUCUUACCAGAAAGGGACGGCUAACUACGU
rnacentral:rRNA from 1 species